GUUAGUGUAUGUAUGUGUGUGUUUGUGUGUGUUAGUGUAUGUGUGUUAGUGUGUGUGUUUGUGUGUGUUAGUGUAUGUGUUUGUGUGUUAGUGUAUGUGUGUGUUAGUGUAUGUAUGUGUGUGUUUAUGUGUGUUAGUGUGUGUGUUUGUGUAUUUGUGUAUGUGUGUUAGUGUGUGUGUAUGUGUGUUAGUGUAGAUGUGUGUUACUGUAUGUGUGUUAGUGUAUGUGUGUUAGUGUG